rnacentral:tRNA from 1 species
GCCCAUAUAACUCAGUGGUAGAGUACACGCUUGGUAAGUGUGAAGUCGCCGGUUCAAAUCCGGCUAUGGGCU